rnacentral:rRNA from 1 species
UACGUAGGGUGCGAGCGUUGUCCGGAAUUAUUGGGCGUAAAGAGCUCGUAGGCGGCCUGUCGCGUCGGAUGUGAAAGCCCGGGGCUUAACCCCGGGUCUGCAUUCGAUACGGGCAGGCUAGAGUGUGGUAGGGGAGAUCGGAAUUCCAGGUGUAGCGGUGAAAUGCGUAGAUAUCUGGAGGAACACCGGUGGCGAAGGCGGCAUCCUGGACCGGCAUUGACGCUGAGGCGCGAAAGCUAGGGGAGCAAACGGG